GAGAGAAUGACUGAGUGGGUUAAAGUGAUAGACUGUAAAUCUAUUGUGACGUAUGUUACAUCACAGGUUCGAAUCCUGUUUCUCUCA
rnacentral:tRNA from 1 species